GGAGUUGUAGCUUAAUGGUGGAGCACAUGCCUCACAUGCAUGAAACAAUUGCCAGUACUACAAAAAGAAAAAUGUGUGGGAUCCAUGUUUUUGCUGUUAUUUUGUCUGCAAUUCCC
rnacentral:tRNA from 1 species